CUACGGGUGGCACCAGUCGAGAAUCUUCCGCAAUGGACGAAAGUCUGAUGGAGCGACGCCGCGUGAGGGAUUAAGGCUUUCUGAGUCGUAAACCUCUGUCAGGAGAGAAGAACAGCGGGGCUAUUAACAGUAUCCCCGUAUGACGUUAUCUCCAGAGGAAGCUCCGGCUAACUCCGUGCCAGCAGCCGCGGUAAUACGGGGGGAGCAAGCGUUGUCCGGAAUCAUUGGGCGUAAAGGGCGUGUAGGUGGUUUUGUAAGUCGAAUGUGAAAUCUCACGGCUCAACCGUGAAAUUGCGUUCGAAACUACAAGACUUGAGUUAGGGAGAGGUGUACGGAAUUCCUGGUGUAGCGGUGGAAUGCGUAGAUAUCAGGAAGAACACCAAUGGCGAAGGCAGUACACUGGCCUGUAACUGACACUGAGGCGCGAAAGCGUGGGGAGCAAACAGGAUUAGAUACCCUUGUAGUC
rnacentral:rRNA from 1 species